GACUUUUGGGGAUGGCAAAGCCCUGCCGGAACGUCACCGGAACAGCCACAAAUAGCCACCAUGAAAGAGAAGCCAUCCCACCAUCCGAAAAGAGAGAUUAGAGCUCAGCAGACAUGUUUUGGGGGAACAGAAGAACGAUCGAUCAAAUAUGAGUAUUUGGAAGCUAAAUUUUGAGAUCGGAUCCGCGAAUAGUCAACUUCAUCAGCGUUUUACCGUUGAUACAGAAGUAACCAGGGAACGGACGAGAUAUCAUUGGAAAGAUCUCGAUUCCAGAUUUUCAGAUCAUCUAUCCGAUCAUCAAAUCGACGUACGGUUAGAAAUUUAUUUACGUUUUUUCUUGGCGAAGAAUAAAGCUGUUGAAUUGCAGAGACAGUUCCGACCAGUCUCGGUGUAAGUGAGAAACGGUCGUCAGAAACAAAAUCUUUCAGUCUGGAAAUUUUUUAGUAAGUAGUUAAUUCUCUUAUCUAUCAUCUCUUGCAAGCGGAUCGUUAUUCUGAGUUAUUUUCUGAGAGUUAUGCUUGUUUUCGUGAGAGGUGUUGGUGCAGUUUGCGUUUACGACCAGCCUAGAGAUGAAGCUACUUUGGUUAAGCAAAUGGUGUCCGAUCGGAGUAAACUUGGUGUCUAUGGAUAGAGGACACAUAGGAAUACAUUAUGACUGGAGAGAUCGAAAAGUUAACGGUCAGUUCUUGAGUUAUUCAUCUGUUUGCUCUAUGGUUCAGUUCUACCAGAAUAUCAUAUUGAUCUAAUUUCAGAGAGUUCCAGAGUUGCUUUGUUAGAGCCGUAAAGGUCCAUUCGGCGUUUCCUCAGGUUUCUUCAGAACCCAUGGCAAAGGUGAGGGUCUUUUCCCGAGCUUCUCUUACACGGCUUAGGACCUCGAAUAAGUAUUAUUUAUUUCUAAUGUGUUCCGUGUAUGUGAAAUCGAGUCUGUCAUUGUUUGCUUAGUUUUAGGUUCUUUGCUUAACCGGAACUACGGUGUUAGAUGGUUCAACAGUGCUUGUUCAUUUAUAAUUGAUAAUAUAUAUGUAUAUAGUAUAUUGAGGUGAUUUGGGUGUUAGCCGACCAUGGAGACGUAAUUCCGUGUGUCGGCCGGAGACCAGUACAUUGGGUGUGGUGUAUGCUGCGGCACAGCUUAGUCGACCUGUUGUGCCAAAGCUCCGAGGUCGAUAAAUCGUCUACGGGCGUGUGUUACCGAGCACAUAUUCGGUGGUGUUUUGGCCUGUUAGUGGGCAGCGAGUGUGCACCUCACUAGGACUGUUGUGUGAUCUUUGGGUACUUUAGGUACCGUGUUUGCAACGCGUUAGGAUUAAAUUAGAUUUAUUCGGAGUGCUCUGUCCGAGUCCAUGGACUUCGGGUUUAGUAUCCCAUACCUCACUGAGUGACUUCCCCGUUACUCACCCCUCAUUUGCGCUUUCAGGUGAGACUGACGAGUAGGAGAUUGAUCGGACAGCUGGUGCUUUUAGGCGUUUUCCUUUGUUCUAUUUCUCAGACUUUUAUUUAUUAUUUUGACGAUUAUUUCAGUUAUUUCGACUAUGAGAUUUAUGGAUUUAUUUCGUUAUUUAUAUGGAAGUCGACUUUCAGACCUU